GGCUAGUAUAUUGAUUUAAAAAUAAAGAAAUAAAUGCUUGAAAGAAAGGACAGGUUAAUCAGGACCGUGAUUUCAUGUCUUAUCUGAAAGAUAGCUCCAUGUUGGGCACUGGUUCAAUAGAAACUAUCAAGGAAGAGCAUUACAUUAAUUACUAGUUCUUUACAACAUCUGGGUUUUCUUAGAGGCCUGUUUGUCUUCCAGAUACAAACUCUACUGGUUCAUAAGAAAACAUGAGAUCAUACUCUUAAUGACUUGCAUAUACUGGUUUACCAGUCUUAAUCAAAACUGGAUUUCCUUUAACUGUAUUGUCUUGCCAAAAACUGAAUUAGGUGUAUGGUUCUCAGAAAAUAUCUUUGGGAACUUGAGAAGAGAUGCUGUAUUUUAUUGCUUGACACAAACAACACAACUGACCACAAUACUUCAUGAUGACCACAGCGUAGUUAGUGCAGGUGAGGUCAUGUGGAAUAGUACUUUGCAUGUACUUUAAAGUGAUGAAAAUGCAUGCAUAUGCACUAUAGAAGAGGAUGCUUCCCUACAGACCUUUCCUGUUGUGCAGAGUUCUCCAUGUCUGCACAUUAUCCGUCCUAGUGUUUUUUCAUCGCUUUAUUAGGCUGCUAAACUCUACAGCAAAGUAAUAGCAAGAAAAAUACUAUUCUAUAUAUACACAUACCUCUACCUAUUAAUUAUCAGAGAAGAGUCACUGAAGUUUAAGCUAGUUUUCUCUCUGAGUGCUGGGAGAGCUCAUAUGUAUACAGCUGAUGCAUAGUGGAAGCUGGCAGAAAUAUUUGCUUUCUGAGUGACCUUCCUAACUAAUGAGCAGUUGCGAGUUACAGUCACAGAAUAGAUAAAUCAGGAGACAGUUGCAGAAAAAACUUAGAAAAUGAUAGUAGAACAUAGGGACAUCAAUCUUUCUACUUUGGCUUUAAUAUCUCAAGGCUGCUGAUCCGGGCUGGAGACAGGAAAUCCCUGGUGCCAGAUAUAAAAUGAGUAAGGCCAACUCUUGGGAUGGCUGGGUGAUUGCAGGUAGAAAACUCCCAAGCAUCAAGUCCUCCUCGUUCCUUGUUUCUUAUGUCCCUUGUUUCUAAUGCAUUCUUCUUAUGACCUCUUUCUCCUGCCACAUUUUAGCACUUUUUCUAACGCCUAUAGCAGUAAUGUGGAAUUUUGUAUGUUUAUUUAAAUCAGGAGAAAUGUUGAUGAAUCUCCUUGUGUUGGUUGGUCAAAUAUUAAUGAAGGUAGAAGUUCAAGACAGGACAGGCUCCAUUUUUGGUACGUAAGACAGUUAAAUCAGAAGAGCAGUGCUUUCUUCUGUCUUCAAUCAUGAUUCUUAUUAACCAGCUUCAGAAGGCAGAGUACAACUGGUCCUUUGCUGUUCUCUGGCUCUUUGCCUUAUCUAGCCAGCAGGACUACUGGUGAAUGUCAGCAGUACUGCAGAUCACUUUAUUUCCUUAAAAAUAUCGUAGUGAUAAUGCUGUUUGUCUUUCCCUGAUAACAUUUGAAUCCAUUAGCCAGCUGCAAACAAAUGUGGGAGAGAGGAAGGUACAGCAACAGCAGCCUGGAGACUGAAGAUGAACCUCCUUGUGCGGAAGAAAUCGAUUAUAACACUGACAGUUGCUCUGAUGGCGAAGGGGACUUCUCAGAUCUAGACCAAGAGAUCCAGGAGUGCCUCUCGUGGGUGGAAGGAGAGGCAGAAGAUGAGAGAGAGACCACAGGACAGACAUGCAGCUCCAAAGCUCUCAGGGGACUUUACAUUUCCAACCAGCCAGCAUCCAGCAGUACGGCUCUGCCUCUGAGUUCUGCACCACUGGGAGUGUACAGCGGGUUUGAGAGCAGCCCUGCAUGAGCAAGACUUUGACUUUCAGAGCAGUAAGGCGAAUGGGCUACUGCUCAUAUUUGUCUGUUUGCCAGCUUCAGCAUCCUUCCCAGAUAUCUUGCUCCAUUUCUGCAUUGAAAAUGGUCUUUAUGUUUGUGUGAUCUGUAUACAUGUAUGUAUUGAGAUUGUCUCCUUGAGCUUUCUUUACAAGGCAGAGAUGAGGGGCCAUUUGCAUUGACAUCGUCCUUUCCUAAACAGAAUCCCCAUCCCAUGGCUGCCUCUAGUGUGUGGAUUCACAUAGGUUGAUAUGGGGAAUGUUUUUCUGACUUUUGAAGGAGCAUCCUUUUUCCUGGCUUAGGCUUUUAUUAUGGACAGCAGCCUUUGCCCACACAUCUCGGAAUUACAGCAGUUUGUGAGGCCUUUGGCAAGAGCUCUCUGUUACCAUUCAUUUCUCUUGAGCUGUAGAGCAUGCAUCUGAGUUCUGAGAUCAGAAUUUUGACCAUGUUUUCAGCAGUUUGGGUCAGGCUAUGCAUGUGCCUGAACUGGUUGUAUCUCAGCAACAGCAUGUGAAAUCCAAUGUGCCAGAGUAAGGAGAGCACCACCAUACAGAGCAGUCCUCUGGAAACCUGGGCUAAAUUCACCUCUUUGCUGCACUGGAAUGAACUAGUCCAGCAUAAUCUCAUUCGAGCCACUUCAUGCUUGAACUUAUGGGCCCAAGUGGAAGAAUAUGUUUCAUGAACAUCUGAAUGAUACUCUAAGAUUCUCUGUGAGACAUCCUUCCAGCAUGAUGCACUGUGGGAAUACAGAUACUGUUUAUGGCUGCUGCUGGGACUGAGAGUGGCUGGAAGCAUUGCAAGGAGAAAAACAUGUUCUCUGGAGGUAGCUGGGGCCCUCCAAUAUUAUGUCAAUUGGAUUAGUGAUGGUGGCAAUAUCCAAGGGUGAAUUUAGCCCAAGAAUCAGUCUAGUGACUGAUUAUUCUUUGUUAGUUUUAAUAUGAUACCACUAAGGAAAUCUAACUCAUGGAACAGGACCCUAUUGUGCUGGAUAGCAAUAUAACAGAAGACAUUAAUGGUAGGUUAUAUAUAGGAUGCAUUCUUCUGGUGAUUCCCAUAAGGGAGCAACUUACUUUAUCUCCAAAUGGAAAAACAAAAAAACAAAAAAACAAAAAAACAAAAAAGAGAUUUCUCAUAAAAUUGCCUGCAAAAACAGAUCUUGAUUUUAUAAAGUGCUCUCUUACAGAAUAGGUAACAUAAGAAUGUCUUUGCAAGCCUGAUUCCACCAGCAUUAGAAUUUACUGUGCUUUCACACAGAUGUCCAAAGCAAUGGAGACACAGCUUCUUGAGCUCCAGCACAGGCCAAGAACACAAAUGCAUGCCUGAGGUUGGUAAAGCACAAAGCCUACAUCAGAGCACUUCACUCCUCAUACUGCCUGUAUUUGUCACGUCUGACACUCUGCUGCUGCCCAUGGGGAAUUGCCCUGAACCCAGAUGGAGGUAAUUGCACUGUGCAAGAGGCUCCCAACUCUGUCACUGUUGUCUUUAUAAGGCUCAAGGAGGACAAACAUAUAGUGCGUUGUAGUAUUACAGACUAUAAGACUUCCAUCUCUGGUGAUUACUGUUAUUAUUGAUGUGUGAUUAAAAGCACCCUGUAAUCCUCUCAUCUUUAUGCUGUUUGUGGAGAGAAUUUCUUGUGCCAACUGAGGCUUUUUUUCUGAUGAAUUUGUGAACGCCUUCCCCCAAACUGCCUGGCCAUACAUUUCCAUCAGCAGCCAGCGCUAUGGAGAAACUAUUCCUUCCUGUCCUGCUGGAGUUUUGGUAUCCUGGUGUUCUAAAGCCUUCACCACUAAAUAACAGUUCUCUGUUUUUCUAGCUCUCUCUUUAUGACAGUGCUCAAAAGACAGGCAGCUUGGGUCCUCAGAAGCUGAGCUUCGUAGACCGAGCUAAUUCAUUAGAUAUAGUGUGUGUUCUCUGUACAGAUAUCAUGUUCUGCUUGCCUUAGCGUGCAGCUUGUUGCAUACAAUACUGAAUUUUCAUAAAAGGAUGGCUCACAGGAAUGGACACCAAUGAGGUAAAACAGGUGUUCCCAUUGUAAUAGUUUGUAUAGCGUUUCUUAAAAGCUUAUUAUUAAAAAAAAAAUGGCAUAUGUGCAUAGCUAACUUCAAAUUCCAACAUUCAUAUGCAUGACAAAACACUCACACUGUGCUGGAUCCAGCCUGCAGCAUAUACAGGACAUGGUGUAAGAUCUUCAGCAUUCAGAGUGGCCCCAGGAUACUGGCUGGGCAAAAAGCACUACUGGGAAUAUACAUCUAUAGAUGUGAAUAUCUAUAAGGGCUACUCCAAAAAUAAUGCCUCCUGUUUUAUUAGUUUGAUCUGCCAAAGGCAGAUGUUGAUGGUACGGCAGCAGAGGUUGAACCUUUCCAGCAAUAUUCCAUUAUAUUUUGUUGCCAUGUGACAGAUGGCAGCAGAGGGGCAGUCUGACAGAACGUUGUCUGAUGUGGGAACGUGUAUGAAGCAAAGGGGUGGAACUGAAUUCCUGCAUGGGGAAAAAAUAACACCCAUUGACACUGACACCUGCUGAAUGUUUAUGGAGACCAGUCAGUGGAUGUGAGCACACUGAGGCAGUGGGUGGUGCGAUUCAGCAGCGGUGGCAAUGACAGUGGGUCACCUCCACUGAGAAAAUGCAUAGCCAAUAGUGGAAGCUACACUGAAAAUCAUGUUUUGUAGCUGAGAAUUUGCUCUAUCAAAUAGAUGUUGUACUCUCUGUAUCUGUUGUAGUUUCUGUGGAUAUAAGCAGGGAGCAUUACUUUUGGAGCAACCUUUGUUCAUCUAGAGCUUCUGUUCCCUCCCACACUACGUUCUGUACCAACAUCCUUCCACAACAACAGUGGUACAGUGCUCCCUGAUGUUUGCCAAAGGUGCAUCUUACUGAAAAGGAAAAUAAAUCAGUGUUUCUCUUACUGCGACACCGGUAUUUUAGCUAUUGUGCUGCUGUGUAAUAGAAAACACCUGGCCCAGGCUUCUCCUUGACAACUUCCGUGUUGUACCAAAUAACUUCUCAACAAGGGGCGAUGGCACAGCAGGAGGUGGUGGGCAGGUGAACCCCAAUCCAUGGGUACCCACCCUGUUACUUGGGGAUUGGGAGCAAAGAACAUCCAGAGGGAGGAAGGUUGGGUGACCAACCGGCAGGGAAUGGCACCUGGAAACUUCCAGCAGAAGCAGUUUGGUGGAUUGUGUUGUCUCUUCCAAGAACCUCUAUGGGAAGCAGAUGCUCUUCUUCUUUUGACAGACCUCUAGAGGUCAGGAGAGGACCUCCACUGCAUGCCACUCUCUCCGUUAUUAAAAUUCUCCCUGAGUCAUGGUAAUUAAGCAGAACUAGGUUCCGCACAGAGGAACGGAAGUGCAUUGACUUUAAUAAAACAGAGUGUAAAACAA